rnacentral:lncRNA from 1 species
CUGCUUUGCAGUGCACUGCCACUUACCGCACUUGCAGCCACGUCGGCCGCAGCCAGGCUCCGACAGCGUUCUGCCACUCUCACACGGCAUUGUGCAUG